UACGGAGGGUGCAAGCGUUAUCCGGAUUUAUUGGGUUUAAAGGGUGCGCAGGCGGAUUUAUAAGUCAGCGGUGAAAGCCUACAGCUUAACUGUAGAAUUGCCAUUGAUACUGUGAAUCUUGAGUGUAGCUGAAGAGGGCGGAAUGUGUUGUGUAGCGGUGAAAUGCUUAGAUAUAACACAGAACACCGAUUGCGAAGGCAGCUCUCUAAACUACAACUGACGCUCAGGCACGAAAGCGUGGGGGUCAAACAGGAUUAGAUACCCUGGUAGUCCACGCCCUAAACGAUGAUUACUGGAUGUUAGCGAUACACAGUUAGCGUCUAAGCGAAAGCAUUAAGUAAUCCACCUGGGGAGUACGGUCGCAAGACUGAA
rnacentral:rRNA from 1 species